rnacentral:rRNA from 1 species
UUAGCGGCGGACGGGUGAGUAACACGUGGGUAACCUGCCUGUAAGACUGGGAUAACUCCGGGAAACCGGGGCUAAUACCGGAUGGUUGUUUGAACCGCAUGGUUCAAACAUAAAAGGUGGCUUCGGCUACCACUUACAGAUGGACCCGCGGCGCAUUAGCUAGUUGGUGAGGUAACGGCUCACCAAGGCAACGAUGCGUAGCCGACCUGAGAGGGUGAUCGGCCACACUGGGACUGAGACACGGCCCAGACUCCUACGGGAGGCAGCAGUAGGGAAUCUUCCGCAAUGGACGAAAGUCUGACGGAGCAACGCCGCGUGAGUGAUGAAGGUUUUCGGAUCGUAAAGCUCUGUUGUUAGGGAAGAACAAGUACCGUUCGAAUAGGGCGGUACCUUGACGGUACCUAACCAGAAAGCCACGGCUAACUACGUGCCAGCAGCCGCGGUAAUACGUAGGUGGCAAGCGUUGUCCGGAAUUAUUGGGCGUAAAGGGCUCGCAGGCGGUUUCUUAAGUCUGAUGUGAAAGCCCCCGGCUCAACCGGGGAGGGUCAUUGGAAACUGGGGAACUUGAGUGCAGAAGAGGAGAGUGGAAUUCCACGUGUAGCGGUGAAAUGCGUAGAGAUGUGGAGGAACACCAGUGGCGAAGGCGACUCUCUGGUCUGUAACUGACGCUGAGGAGCGAAAGCGUGGGGAGCGAACAGGAUUAGAUACCCUGGUAGUCCACGCCGUAAACGAUGAGUGCUAAGUGUUAGGGGGUUUCCGCCCCUUAGUGCUGCAGCUAACGCAUUAAG